CUCUCCUGCAAAUCAACACAGCUCUGAUAGUGAGUCAGGACUGAUCUUGUGUCCACUCCUGACAAAAGAAAUGAACAGUCAAGGUGUGGAGUGUGUACUGGAUAUCCUCUACAUUUGCAGUUCUUAUUGCCUGGACUGCAAUUUGGCUCAGCAUAUCAGAAGCUAAGUUGCUCAAGCAUUUUCUGUUUUUAUUGCUGUUUCAACAUAACGUUAUAACAAUGCACAGAACCUAAGAAGAAAAGCAGGAUUCCUGUUUUAAUCUUUCAGCUGAAGAAGGUUCAUACUGGCUUCAAACCACUAACUCUAUUUUUGGCUUCACAGAUGCUGCCAAACCUGCAGAGAUUCUCUAGCACUUCCUGUUUUUAUUUCAUUGACUGAAAUGUUGCCACUCUAUCGGCUCCUCCAUGAAAGUACACAUCCUUCAUUAGUCCAUAGUGGUUUCCAGAUGUGACAAUAGUUUACUCUGGUGAUGUUAUAUAUAGAAGAAAA